UACAACCUAAAACUCUCUCUAAAGGUUCUCACGUAGUUCAAGAGCUAAUCCUUAGGUGCUCAAAGUGAAUCAAACGCUUGAAACCUUGUGGUGGCUAUUUUCAGAGAUUUCUUCAUGGUGAAGUUGAGGUGCUACUCGGGAAAAGUUUGUUUUCGAGUUGGUACAGACGACGAGAGGCAUGUAAUUGCUAUCCAUUUUCUUUUAUUGGCAUGAAUCUGUAGUAAGUACGAGUUGGAUGAAUCUUAUACGAGAAACACAUAUUAUAGAGCUCA